GUAUGAAAUCACUAAAGGUCACCCCGUGAUGAAAUAGACAACAGUUUCCAUAAAUAUUAUUUAUUUUCUAUUUACAAAAGAGAGAAGAAAGAAGCCAAGCUGUCGCCUUUAAGGGUACAUCAUGCCACCCGGAUACCCGGGGCCGCACCCCUGAAGCUACGACCGAAAGCACAACAGCUGUCAACGCUUGGAUUGUUGUAUAAUCAUCUUUAUUAGUGUUUAUUACAGACUGGCUGAUUUAAAAGGGAAAAAAAGAAAAGUGGAUGAGGGAUACGUGGGUUCGAUCCUAGGCAAGAGGGGAUAACGGUAAAGUCUGCUACAUCGACGCAAUUAAGACCACAGUGUGCGACAAUUACAGAACAUCAACACCAGCAGGAACAAUAUCGACAACAACAACAACAACAACUGCAGCAGUAGUAGCAGCAGUCAGGAAGAAUAAUAAAAACCUCUUUCUCUCCCCCCCUCUCUGUGAUAUAUAUAUAUAUAUAUAUAUAUACAUACACACACACAUACAUAUGUAGGUAGAUAUAUAUACAAUCCCAAAUAUAUACAGCUACAUAUAAUCACCUAUAUAUAUAUACAUACAUGUACAAUCCUACCUUCAACUGAACAGAGAUUCUUUUUCUGCUUUUGAGAAAUAAUUCCAAAAGCUGCCCCCUAUUUACCCCUAUUCUUUUUACUGCUUACCCUUGUCCGCUGCCGUCAUUACACUUCCUUUACCUUACCCCCCAUCCCAUCCCCCGUUAUUUCAGUAAUAUAUCAGAAUUCAUUUGAGUUGAUUAACCAAGGAAUGCCUUUGAACUCUUUCGGAAUUGACCUCUUACUAAAGAUGGGCUGUGUCUGCGGAAAGGAAAUGAUUUUCAUCAACAACCGACGUUUCUAUGUUAGAUCAAGUCUUGGCGAAGGGGGAUUUAGUCUGGUUGACUUGAUCGAAGAUGCGCGAAGCCACAAAAAUUUUGCUCUGAAGAGGAUCAAGUGCCACUCAAAGGAUGACGAAAACAUUGCUCUGCACGAGGUGAAGGUGAUGAAAUUGUUUAAGCAUCCACACAUAGUCCCCUUAAUUGAGUACAUGCUCGUGCCGGCCAGCAAGUUCGCCCAAAAUACAGACAUCUACAGUGAGUUACAUAUCGUCAUGCCAUAUUAUUCACGAGGUUCACUUCAGGACCGAAUCGAGAUGCUUGCUAGAAAAGGGGACCACAUCCACGAGGACCGUUUGUGGGAGAUCUUCUUUGGAAUUUGUGAAGGUUUAAAGGCCAUGCACAGCCACAGUCCACCUUAUGCUCACAGGGACCUGAAGCCUGCUAACAUCAUGUUCGCUGAUAACAACUGCCCCGUCCUCAUGGAUCUCGGGUCAUCAGUAAUGGCCAGAACAGAAAUAAAGACCAUGUCAGAGGCUCGUACCCUGCAGGAUGUAGCUGCUGAACGCUGUUCAAUGCAAUACCGUGCGCCAGAGCUGUUCAACGUGGAAAAAGGAUCUUGCAUUGACGAGCGCAGUGACAUUUGGUCCUUAGGUUGUCUGCUGUACGCGUUGGCUUUUCUCGAGUCUCCUUUUGAACAGGAUUACCAAAGAGGGAACAGCAUAGCUUUGGCAGUGCUUGGUGGAAAUAUCAAAUUCCCAGAAAAUUCACAUUACUCAAAACAUCUGGAGAUGACAGUACAGAAAUUGAUGGCAGUGAAUCCGAUGGAGCGUCCGUUUAUUGAACAAGUGUGCCAAGCGGUGAGCGUAGCCAGGACAGACAAUGCAGGACACACAAUGUAAAGAAGAAGAAGCAGCAGAAGGGUGUGAUGCUGGGUGUGAGUGAUGUGACUUGUCUUUACGUACAACAUAUCUGCCUGUGUGAAUGAUGUGACUGGUGUGGUUCUACAGCAUAUACACAUGCAGUUGUGUGAUUGAUAUGUCUCUAAAACAUACAUACACAUGUUCACCUGCAUGAUUGAUGUGAAUGAUGUAUCUCUACAGCAUACAAACACAUGUCUACCUGCACGAGUGGUAUGAAUGAUGUGUCUUUACAGCAUAUAUACACGUGUCUACCUGCAUGAGUGAUGUGAAUAAUGUCACUACAGCAUACGUAUAUAACAUUCCUACCUGCAUGAGUGAUGUGAUUGAUGUGUUACUACAGUAUUCAUAGCAUGUAUACUUGCAUGAAUGAUGUGAAUGUGCCACUACAGCAA